GUGGGAUUGAAAGCCGAACGGACGAAAUAUUUUAAAGGAGCCAUAAUCCUGGAGCGGACCCGAAAUGGACCUUUAAUCUUGCCACGAACUUUUGCUUUUCGCCGACGCUCGAAUCAGUCAAUACCCUGACACUGGCAACUGUGGAUGAUUAAAGCAAUGGAUACCAGCCGUCGAGCCGUGCUUGGCUGCUGACCAGACGUUUCCACAAAGACUGCGACUGCGCUGUAACGGGAAAGCGGAUAUUGCAGCACCGACGGAUCCGACGAGGAUGACUGCAAGUCUUUUGGACAUUUUAACACGAUGCGCAUGAUCUCCAUCUACGACAGCAUUGUUGCUAUAUGGAAGCCCUAACGGAAUACGCUUAUCGAGCCAGAUUGCGUGACAUCACCGGCAGGAGUGUCGUCGUGGAAUAGCAUCCGCGUUUUGUCCAAAAUGGGCAAAAAUUAUGCGCAUUAAUAGCAACGGUUUAGCCAACGUUCACCAAAUGAAUAUUCCUAACGUUUGGGGCUUAAUGAAGAAUGCACUCGGCGAUCCAAUGAAUUCCGCACUUCCGUAUCUCAACCUUAUUCAGAAAUUUGUUUUACAGAAUUAAAAUAGCAAGGAUCACCUACGCACUUUGAAAUUAUUUUGUGAAUAUGGGGCAAAACCAGAACUUCGUCAACCAGAAAAAGUUUGCAGAUCAAAGGUAUUUUGUAGCAUUUAGUCAUUUGAUAAUACUAUGAUAGCACUAGUAAAAAGUGAAAUAACAGCAACGCUUCAAUCAAAAUAAAAAUUAGUUUAACAAUUUUUGUAAUCACACGAAAAUCAGCUGAAAAAAACUUAGUGGCUGAGCUUAGAAAACAGGGAAUCCGUUCCACCAUGAUGCAUUACUUUAUGUAGAACUUGCGAUUAUUUCGGUAAGAGGAUGCUAGCUAGCUUAGCAGCUUAGAUGCUUUUAGAAAAAUACUUGUGCAGAUAUUUAUGGAAUAUAUAGUUUUACCGAGGUAAUUCCCCAUAAAAUGAAACCGAACAAAACAACGUGAAACAGCCAUCGGCACAAUGACGCAACGAUUUCUUUUUACUUUUCACAAACAAAAAAAGACGAACAUUUUAUGCUAAGACUUUCAAUUUCUUGUUAUGUACAAUCAAGUGCCAAAGUAUAAUUGUUCCGUCCGUUUCAAGUUGAUUAAGUAUUUUUAUUAUUUAAGCAUGAAUUUUAUUUUAUAAAAGACAAAGAAAAUCGCUUAAAAUAAGAAAGUAUGGACUUGAAUAAUCCUGUGAGGAAUAUUCUCAUUCUAGUAAUCAAGGAAAAUUUGACUUUAUAUAUCGUCAGCUUAUUUGUUGUAUUGAUUUACUUUUAUUUAUUACGAAAAGUGAAGAAAGGGAGAAGGCGGAAGAGAUGACGCAAGGGCGACAAGGCCUGUGGCGAAAAAGAACAUUGAACUCGCCGUUGUUCUCGCACUCGACAACAUCGUAUUUUGCUUGUUGCAUCUAUCCAAAGGCAAAAAGUUUGUCGAUUUGAAAAAUGGAUCGGAAAAUUUUGAUUGUCGCAGCUGUGAUGGCAUUCAUAUUGACGGUGCUCAUUAACGGCGUUCAUAGUCAUACAUUUAAUCUUGGUUCUUGUCCUCGAGUUGAGCCAGUCAUUGAUUUUGACAUGUCAAAGGUUAAGUUAGAAAACAUCUCAUCGUGUAUAUCGUGUAUAUAUAUACUGAAGAGGAAUAGGAACUGAUUUAUAAUAUUUAAUUUGAUUGAUUUCCUAGUUUCUUGGACGUUGGUAUGUCAUACAGAAAUUUUCAACAGCUUCCUCUUGCUGGAUAUACGAUUUUAAUGGCAACAAUUCCGAUCAUUCACUAAAAAUUGUCCAGUCACGCAACCAUGUCGCUCUGGAUACCAUUGGUCUAGACAACAAUUAUCGUUACACUGGAGCACUAGAUGUCCCUGAUUCGAAUCAACCCGGCUUUAUGUGUGUGCGAUUUCCGAUGAGUAAGGAAUCUCUUUUGAAAAUUAACGUUUGUGACCAAAAGUUAUGUAUCAUAACGGGAAUAGUCAAAUUAGGAAUAUUGCUCACGAUAAAGGUUUGGCAGGCAAGGCUGAUUAUAUGUAGUAUUCGCAACGGAUUACGAAAAUUAUUGAGCUAUUUAUACAGCUGUCAAAGCAUUUUAUUCGGCCAUCGUCGUUCCGCUUCCAUCCUUUCCCGUCGCCCGACUUUGGAUCAACCACAAAUCAACAAGAUUCGUUCAAAACUGGAAAGCUUCGGUGUGAAUCCUCACGACUUUUCCAUUAUUGACCAUUUAGAUUGCAAGUUGCUCCCUUCGAUAAGUCUACUGGACGUCGAAGUCAACCCUCAUACUUUCAGUAGAGGAGAGCGGACCCAAACCGAACAAAAAACCUAUUUUAGUCAUAAAUAGUUCCGUGAGAUAAAAGACUGGGUAAUGGAUGUAUGAUGUUAAUUGAUUCACAAAUUUGUAUUAAAAGGGUGGGAAAAGGCGCACACUGUAAAACAAAAAGGAUAAAUGUGGCUCGAAAUGUGGUUUUCAAUAAUUCUGAAAUACAAAAAGAAAAGCGGGUAAAGCUUCGAACAAG